ACAGGCUUAACACAUGCAAGUCGCAGGGUAACAUGAGGAAAGCUUGCUUUCCUUGAUGACGACUGGCGCACGGGUGAGUAACGCGUAUCCAACCUUCCCAUAACUACGGGAUAACCCGUUGAAAGACGGCCUAAUACCGUAUGAUAUCGUUUGCUGACAUCAAAUAACGAUUAAAGGUUUAGCGGUUAUGGAUGGGGAUGCGUCUGAUUAGCUUGUUGGCGGGGUAACGGCCCACCAAGGCUACGAUCAGUAGGGGUUCUGAGAGGAAGGUCCCCCACAUUGGAACUGAGACACGGUCCAAACUCCUACGGGAGGCAGCAGUGAGGAAUAUUGGUCAAUGGGCGAGAGCCUGAACCAGCCAAGUAGCGUGAAGGAUGACGG
rnacentral:rRNA from 1 species